rnacentral:sRNA from 1 species
ACUGAGCCACCAGCACCGCCCCAAAUAUGAAGAAUUCUAAUAAGUUUUUCCAUAUUUAAUCAUCGUAUAUCUUUUUGUGGUAUUUAACCUCUAAGUUCAGUAUCAGUAUGGUGACCUCCUGGGAGCAGGGGCCCACCAGGUUGCCUAAGGAAAGGUAAACUGGCCCAGGUCAGAAACGGAGCAGCAGGUCAAAGCUCCUGUGCUGAUCAGUAGUGGGAUCGUGCCUGUGAAUAGCCACUGCACUCCAGCCUGGACAUCAUAGUGAGA